CCCUAUGGGGUGCAGCAGGCGGAUCACUAAGUCAGGGGUGAAAAAUUUCAGCUUAACUGGAAUCGUGCCUUUGAUACUGUUGGACUAGAGUAUCAUUGACGUGACUGGAAUGUGAUGUGUAGCGGUGAAAUGCUUAGAUAUGUCACAGAACGCCAAUCGUGAAGACCGGUCACGAAAUUAUUACUGACGCUCAUGCACGAAAGCGUGGGGAUCAAACA
rnacentral:rRNA from 1 species